UGCAGUCGAGCGGAUGAAGGGAGCUUGCUCCUGGAUUCAGCGGCGGACGGGUGAGUAAUGCCUAGGAAUCUGCCUGGUAGUGGGGGAUAACGUCCGGAAACGGGCGCUAAUACCGCAUACGUCCUGAGGGAGAAAGUGGGGGAUCUUCGGACCUCACGCUAUCAGAUGAGCCUAGGUCGGAUUAGCUAGUUGGUGGGGUAAAGGCCUACCAAGGCGACGAUCCGUAACUGGUCUGAGAGGAUGAUCAGUCACACUGGAACUGAGACACGGUCCAGACUCCUACGGGAGGCAGCAGUGGGGAAUAUUGGACAAUGGGCGAAAGCCUGAUCCAGCCAUGCCGCGUGUGUGAAGAAGGUCUUCGGAUUGUAAAGCACUUUAAGUUGGGAGGAAGGGCAGUAAGUUAAUACCUUGCUGUUUUGACGUUACCAACAGAAUAAGCACCGGCUAACUUCGUGCCAGCAGCCGCGGUAAUACGAAGGGUGCAAGCGUUAAUCGGAAUUACUGGGCGUAAAGCGCGCGUAGGUGGUUCAGCAAGUUGGAUGUGAAAUCCCCGGGCUCAACCUGGGAACUGCAUCCAAAACUACUGAGCUAGAGUACGGUAGAGGGUGGUGGAAUUUCAUGUGUAGCGGUGAAAUGCGUAGAUAUAGGAAGGAACACCAGUGGCGAAGGCGACCACCUGGACUGAUACUGACACUGAGGUGCGAAAGCGUGGGGAGCAAACAGGAUUAGAUACCCUGAGUAGUCCACGCCCGUAAACGAUGUCGACUAGCCGUUGGUGAUCCCUUGAGAUCGUA
rnacentral:rRNA from 1 species